UACGGAGGGUGCAAGCGUUGUCCGGAAUCACUGGGCGUAAAGGGCGCGUAGGCGGCUCGGUAAGUAGGGGGUGAAAUCCUGCGGCUCAACCGCAGGGCUGCCUUCUAAACUGUCGAGCUCGAGCACGGUAGAGGCAGAUGGAAUUCCCGGUGUAGCGGUGGAAUGCGUAGAGAUCGGGAAGAAUACCGAUGGCGAAGGCAGCCCCCUGGGAUGAUACUGACGCUCAUGCACGAAAGCGUGGGGAGCAAACAGG
rnacentral:rRNA from 1 species